rnacentral:rRNA from 1 species
GACGAACGCUGGCGGCGUGCUUAACACAUGCAAGUCGAGCGGUAAGGCCCUUUCGGGGGUACGACGAGCGGCGAACGGGUGAGUAACACGUGGGUGACCUGCCCUCAGCUCUGGGAUAAGCCUGGGAAACCGGGUCUAAUACCGGAUAUGACUCCAUGACGCAUGUUGUGGGGUGGAAAGCCUUGUGCGGCUGAGGAUGGGCCCGCGGCCUAUCAGCUUGUUGGUGGGGUGAUGGCCUACCAAGGCGACGACGGGUAGCCGGCCUGAGAGGGCGACCGGCCACACUGGGACUGAGACACGGCCCAGACUCCUACGGGAGGCGAGCAGUGGGGAAUCUUGCGCAAUGGGCGAAAGCCUGACGCAGCGACGCCGCGUGAGGGAUGACGGCCUGUG